rnacentral:rRNA from 1 species
AAUAAGCGGAGGAAAAGAAACCAACAGGGAUUGCCCUAGUAACGGCGAGUGAAGCGGCAACAGCUCAAAUUUGAAAUCUGGCUCUCGGGCCCGAGUUGUAAUUUGUAGAGGAUACUUUUGAUGCGGUGCCUUCCGAGUUCCCUGGAACGGGACGCCAUAGAGGGUGAGAGCCCCGUCUGGUUGGAUGCCAAAUCUCUGUAAAGUUCCUUCAACGAGUCGAGUAGUUUGGGAAUGCUGCUCUAAAUGGGAGGUAUAUGUCUUCUAAAGCUAAAUACCGGCCAGAGACCGAUAGCGCACAAGUAGAGUGAUCGAAAGAUGAAAAGCACUUUGAAAAGAGAGUUAAAAAGUACGUGAAAUUGUUGAAAGGGAAGCGUUUAUGACCAGACUUGGGCUUGGUUAAUCAUCUGGGGUUCUCCCCAGUGCACUUUUCCAGUCCAGGCCAGCAUCAGUUUUCCCCGGGGGAUAAAGGCGGCGGGAAUGUGGCUCUCUUCGGGGAGUGUUAUAGCCCACCGUGUAAUACCCUGGGGGGGACUGAGGUUCGCGCAUCUGCAAGGAUGCUGGCGUAAUGGUCAUCAACGACCCGUCUUGAAACACGGACCAAGGAGUCGUCUUCGUAUGCGAGUGUUCGGGUGUCAAACCCCUACGCGUAAUGAAAGUGAACGCAGGUGAGAGCUUCGGCGCAUCAUCGACCGAUCCUGAUGUUCUCGGAUGGAUUUGAGUAAGAGCAUACGGGGCCGGACCCGAAAGAAGGUGAACUAUGCCUGUAUAGGGUGAAGCCAGAGGAAACUCUGGUGGAGGCUCGCAGCGGUUCUGACGUGCAAAUCGAUCGUCAAAUAUGGGCAUGGGGGCGAAAGACUAAUCGAACCUUCUAGUAGCUGGUUUCCGC